UGCUCAAAUGUCCUGCGGUAGCAAAUGCAUCACGAGGGACAGGCGCACGCUGCCUUGACGAGGCGGACAAGUUUCCCCUGUGGGGGCGCCGUGCCGAGCAAGGACAGAGGUGAGGAGGCCGUGGAGGGGACACUGUUGGUGUUUUAGGAAGAAAACCAUCCACACCCAAAAAAAGGUUUACCCUGUGGAAAAAAUACAGCCUUUUUUAAAAUAAAAAGUUGGCUGCCUGCCCUGUGGGCCACUGCAUUGGGGGGUGGAGUCAAUCAGAGGAGAAGCUGCUUUCUGGAGGUCAGUGGACAGCUUCCCCACUGCUCGAGAAGCUACAACUGCUCCCCUCCUCCACAGGAGAACAAGGACACUGUUUGUGUUGAAAGAGAACGAAUAAGUAAACAAGAUAAACUACUCAAGCAAAGAGUCAGGAGCCUGAAACGAAUCCCAGACUAGCCGACUCGACUGGUGGGAGGAAAACAACGGAUAUCCCCACCGCACACAGAUUUAUUAACACGGAGCUGCAAUAAAAGUACAAAUUUUACAAAUGAA